AAUCACUUGCCUUCUCUUUGCAUGUUUUCCAUUGACCAUUUAUUUCUUAUUCCUUGAUAUUUCAUUUAUUCAUAUGUGGUACUGGAUGACACUAGCUGGCAAUUGCUAUUUUACCAUCUUUAAAUUAAUCUGCUACACAAUAAAAAAUGUGGUGUCUAUUCAUUGGCACUGUUAGAGUUGGUCUUGUGUUCUAGUGUCACUUUAUUUUUAUGUUCCAAGUUCCUUCCUAAUGCAGUCAAGGCAUAUUAAAUUUAGGAAUUAAAUUGUAAAAUUAAGAUCUUUAAUUUAGAUUUUAGUGCAAUUUCUAUUAGGAAGUUUAGGUUUCUAUUAUUUAGGAAAUUUAAU
rnacentral:misc_RNA from 1 species